rnacentral:rRNA from 1 species
AUACGGAGGGUGCAAGCGUUACUCGGAAUCACGGGGCGUAAAGCGCGCGCAGGCGGUCUUUUAAGUUGGAUGUGAAAGCCUACGGCUCAACCGUAGAACUGCAUCCAAAACUAUUAGACUAGAGUGUGGGAGAGGAAGAUGGAAUUAGUUGUGUAGGGGUAAAAUCCGUAGAGAUAACUAGGAAUACCAAAAGCGAAGGCAAUCUUCUGGAACACUACUGACGCUGAGGCGCGAAAGCGUGGGGAGCAAACAGGAUUAGAAACCCUAGUAGUCC